UCCCUUCUCGCCUCUCUGUGGAGCUAUCUGAGGAUGUGGUUGACGGUUUCUAAAGAUGAUUCUCUGUGACAUAUACACUGGGAAUGUCUUUGAGGUUCCUCAUUAUAUCUAAUAUCUUUUCAGAUCCUCGACACUCUGAUUCUCCUUUUCCAUCUUGCGUCUGAUGUUUAUGAACUUCUGUGGAAGCUUAUUCUUCUUGCUGCCUCCUGGGGAGUUUCUAUUUUUCUCUUGUUCGUCUGGAGGACCGUCCUUGCUGUAAAGCCUCCAGUGUGUCAAGUUACUUUAAAGCAGAUGACUGAGCAGAGCAAGAAUUUGGAGAAUGAAAACAGAGAACUUGCAGAAAAUAUAUCUGCUUGGGUGCAGAAGGUAUCCUUGUCCUUUUGCUUUUUUUUUUUUUGUGAUUUUACCUUCAGUUCCUCCCCACUCUGGCAGUUCAGUUAUUUGGCUCUCUUUUCCUUCAUCCUACUGUCCUGUUCCAUGUGUUCCAUAAGAGGUCUAGGUUCAAAGCAAGUGUCCUAGAUUAAAAAAAAAACAAAAAAACCCAAAAAACAAAUUUCUUCUGUAGAGCACAGGGAACACUACUUGAUAUCUUGUAACCUAUAAUGAAAAAGAAUGUGAAGACAAACAUAGGUGUAUAUAUAUAUGUGACUGAAACAUGCUGUACACCAGAAAAUUGACACAUUGUAACUGACUAUA